UGAUGGAACAGAUUUGUUUACUGGAGGAAUUGAUAUUCAAGCAGUUAACGUUGUUAUCAAUUCUGAUUUUCCUAAGAACUCAGAAACUUAUUUGCACAGGGGAAAUGGAGGUGAUCAAAUUUGAAGUGGAUGAUGAAGAGUUUUUGAACUAUUGUAAAAGUUUAAAUACAUAUUUGAUUUAUUGUGAACACAUUUAGAAUAUUAAUGUAUAAGUAUGGAUAUGUACACAACACAUA